ensembl:lncRNA
CCCUGAGGCUUAAAACCUUCAACAACGCUUCCUCUGGGGUGUAAGCUCUUCUUACUGGCUCACCCUGUGGAGGGAGUGUACUUUCACCUUCAAUAAACCUUUGAUCUUGCUGCUCCUUUUGCGUGUCCUGCUCAAUUCUUUGUUCAAGACACUAAGAACUUGGAUAAGACCCUUCAUCGAGUAACAAUUUUGUAUUAUUUAACCCAAACUUCUGCCACAUGAGGAAGUAAGAAAAAUCUUUCCCUCACUGGCAUCUGCUUUUGUCUGAAACUUCUCAUCCAAACAGCUUAGACUUUCUUGGUAUUCUGGCAUAAAUACUCUGAAGAACCCAUUAGAAGACUUGAAAGAGUACAGAAAGAGGAAAUCUCAAGAAUAGGUAAGAUUCUGCUUUGUGAGAAAGGGAAGUCGUGUGUCUGCUCUCCGAAACUCUGUUCUCAGUAAAAGCACCAUCAGGUCGAGAAAACAUGUACGUCAAUCAGUUCCUCUUUGCUUAAAUGAAUUCCGCAUGAAUUUGUCAUUUGCAACCAAGAGUUCUGACAAAUACAUUGCACAAGAAAAGAGAAAUCAUGAAUCAUGAAAAAUGGAUCUUAAUUCCUUUAAGAUGAUGGAGCCAGCAGCAAAUCACAUCUCUGUGCUGGGAACAGAGACAUCUAGAGAACAACUUCUUCGUGAGAAGAAAGAGAAGAGCUCUGGGAAUCAAGAAAGAACCAGUAGGAAAGCUAAAAAUCACAGAGAACAGAAGACAACCAGAGAAAGGAAUGAAGCAGUGUGGAAAGCUAACUCUGACUCCAGGGUAGAGGGGAUCUCACCCCCAAACACAAGAUACCUUGAAGUCUGCCUUGAAGAGGGAAGAAACAAAGACAAGAGCUUGGUGGAUAGAAUAGACAUCAGAGAUGAGAAACCAGGAGUUAUAACACUGUACAAUCCAACGUGUCUCCCAUAUGUGUGGAAGAAUGAGAAGCAAGAAAAACCAGUUUCAAUCUAUAUUGUGUCCAGUGGGCAGGGAGCAUAUUUGGCACUAGGCUUCCUGCUAGAGAUUUCAGAUAUUGCCAGGCUGAAACAGUUCAUGCCUCUGGUUGUUGGGACAUAAACAGACAACUUACCAAGAUUUCCUCCCAGAGACAAAGUGGCUUCUCUUUGGAGAAGAUGUUCUGCUCCCUGAGUGUGAUGUGGUGGAAGGGAUUGAAAUCCAAGCAUAUGGGCUGGGAAAUGGUCCACCAAGAAUUUGGGAUCCAAGGAAGGAAUAAGCUCUGCUGACAGAGUCAUCCCAUGCCAAGGACAAAAAACCUAUGGAUGCCAAAUGGGACACAGAGUGAACAGCCUCUUCCAGGGAUACCUGAGAAAGCAGAAGACUGACCUUAGCAGUUGUUGUAUUACCUCCUCACAGAGGGGUCUGGACAAAGCCGUUGUCAAAGCAUGGGUUUCGCUCCGAUGUUGUUCUGCUUGCUCCAUCUGGGACUCAGAUGCAUUCUCCUUUACCACUGAAUUCCUCAACUUGGACCACACCACAUCUGCUACCUGGAAAGUCUGACAAACAGCCUGGAAUAUCUGCCUACGAGCAAAUAUUUAUACUGUUGGAGUUACAUGUAUCAUUUAGCCUAUCUUACCUCAGAGUGUUUUUGCUUUACACUGAGUCAGAUACAGAACUUAAAACUUCUUAGUUUUGUGAAUGUUGAAUAGUAAAUUUUUUGUUUUGGUCAGCCUAUCCUGUCUUCAGAGGUGCUGAUUUCAUCAAUUACAAGCAAUAAUUAUUCAACAUUCACAAAACUAAACUAAAAUAAAUCAUAUAUAUGAUAUAUAUUAUAUAAUAUAUAGUAUAUAUAUGUAUGUAUUUUUAAAAACUUAAACUGGGCAUAGUGGAACAUGCCCAUAAUCCUGGCAUUCUGGGAGGCUGAGGCAGGAGGAUCACAAGUUCAAGUCCAGCCUGUUAGCAACUUAGUGAGACCCUGUCUCAAAAUAAAAAAAUUAAAAGUAGGACUAAGGAUGUAGCUUAGUGCAGAGGCCCUGGGUUCAAUCCCCAGGACAGAAAAAAACAAUUAAAAAUCCAGCUGAUCUUGGGGAUAAGACUAAGGCACUUCUGGUUGUUUCUGAAUGUUCCAUCUUAUCCCACCAUUUCUCAGCUUUUCUGCGUUAUAACUGGUCUCCUUUAGCUAGCCAUAAAGAGAGAAUUCCUUUUUUCAGACCAGUGAACUGACUGAUCACAUCACAUCAGCUCUAUUCUUCAGGUCAUGGCUUUGCAGCUGAGUUGUUUUAUUUACAGGUAUUUCUCGGUUUUGUUUGUUUGUUUUGCUUUGCAUUUAUAUUUGGAAAUCUAGUUGAAAAAAACAACAUUACUGGAUCCAGGAGCACCUUAUGAGAGUACACGUACCUUGCUGAUAGAAAUAAAAUCUAGAAUCUAUGACUCUCUUCUUUAGUUCCUUUCACCUGCAAGAAGAUAAGGUGCCCAGUCUAAUAGCUGAGGCAACACGUCUAUGUUUACCAUGUUGUACAUGCUUUAAUUUCCCUUAGCAGUCAUUCACCAGAGAGAGAAGGAGGAGCAACCUACAGGAAUCAGUGAUUUCUGGCAUUAAAAUUGCUGGCCACAUCAGGCUGCUUCUCACACAUGGCCCCAGUAAGACCAGAUAAAUUUCCACGGAAUCAUUCAACCUGUCUGAUUACUGUUUCCUGCUGUCAGAAGAGAUUCAAAUUUCCUACAUUUUAGGAAAUAUAUCUCUAUAUGUACAGCCUAUUGGUUCUGUUUUUCUGCAGAACCCGAAUACAAAUCUCAUAAUGAUUUAUACAAGAUCAAAUUAAAUUUCAUGAAAAGUUUGGAGAAUCUGAUUCUAUUCUAGUCUUCUUAGGAAAAUUAAAUACAUAAAUUAAUUCAAAAAAUUCUAAAUUAAAAAUGUGAGUAAUGACACGAGGCUAGAUAAAUUAGUUAUUUAAAUAUAUUAUAAAAGCUAUGAUAAUUAAAAUAUGGCACUGCUAAGAGAAGAAAAAUAUAUAGAUAUAGGAUCCAGAAUAGGCAGCCCAGAAAUUCACUUUGUUCCAUAUAAGAAGUGGCUAGACACUCACAGAUAUAUAUCAGAAGGAAGUGAAGUCAGCAUACAAAAGAUACCUGCAUGCCCAUGUGUAUUGUGCCACUUUUCACAACAGCCAAAGUAGGAAUCAGCCUCAGUGCCUUAAUAAUGGAUAAAUGUGAUACACACACACACACACACACACACACACACACACACACAAUAGAGUACUAUUCAGCCAUAAAGAAGAACGAAAUCCGUCCAUUUCCCUCAAAGUGAAUGGAACUGGAGACAUUGUGUGAAACUAGUCCCAGAAAGUUAAAAUUCACAUGCUUUCUUUUAUGUAAGCAAUCUAAAAGUAAAGACAAAUAAAUGCAAACGCAAAGGAGAGAGGACAGGAAACCAGAAGGUCGAUUUCCAGUGACAGGAAAGGGGAAGGGAGACAAAAGAAAGGGUAUGAAAGUCAUCAGACUUUGUUAAACGCGUGUACUAAUGUAUCAUUAUGAAUCUCAGUAUUGUUACUGCUAAUCUGUACCAAUAAAAAUAAAAUUACCUAUUUUUAA